CAGUCGCCACGGGAAUACGUAGGUGGCAAGCGUUGUCCGGAAUUAUUGGGCGUAAAGCGCGCGCAGGCGGAUCAGUCAGUCUGUCUUAAAAGUUCGGGGCUUAACCCCGUGAGGGGAUGGAAACUGCUGAUCUAGAGUAUCGGAGAGGAAAGUGGAAUUCCUAGUGUAGCGGUGAAAUGCGUAGAUAUUAGGAAGAACACCAGUGGCGAAGGCGACUUUCUGGACGAAAACUGACGCUGAGGCGCGAAAGCCAGGGGAGCGAACGGGAUUAGAGACCCCCGUAGUCCCUGUCUCUUAUACA
rnacentral:rRNA from 1 species